UUUCAAAGAAAACGGUAAAGUUGGAGAUGCAGAGAGGAUGUUUAUUCAGGCACGGUUCUUUGCACCAGAGAAAGCUAAGGCACUUGUAGAUCGUUACUCAAGACGGUAACUGCUGUUGUUACUGCCUGUUUUUGUGCAUGGUUCGUUUAUAACUUAGUCUUGAUGUAGUUCCAUUUUGACUAUUGGACUAUUUAUAUCGGUCUCCAAAAUUUUCAUAAGUUCA